rnacentral:piRNA from 1 species
UCCUAUAACAAAGUGACAUAGACUGGUAGC